rnacentral:rRNA from 1 species
CCUACGGGAGGCUGCAGUGAGGAAUAUUGGUCAAUGGGCGCGAGCCUGAACCAGCCAAGUAGCGUGAAGGAUGACUGCCCUACGGGUUGUAAACUUCUUUUAUAAAGGAAUAAAGUGAGGCACGUGUGCCCUUUUGUAUGUACUUUAUGAAUAAGGAUCGGCUAACUCCGUGCCAGCAGCCGCGGUAAUACGGAGGAUCCGAGCGUUAUCCGGAUUUAUUGGGUUUAAAGGGAGCGUAGAUGGGUUGUUAAGUCAGUUGUGAAAGUUUGGGGCUCAACCGGAAAAUUGCAAUUGAAACUGGCAGUCGUGAGUACAGUUGAGGUAGGCGGAAUUCGUGGUGUAGCGGUGAAAUGCUUAGAUAUCACGAAGAACUCCGAUUGCGAAGGCAGCUUACUAAACUGCCACUGACAUUGAUGCUCGAAAGUGUGGGUAUCGAACAGGAUUAGAUACCCUUGUAGUC